GUACGGUGGCGGGGGCUGUCGCCCUGGCGCUCGGGUCGCCGCUGGUCCGCGCGAUCCUCGCCGCGCGCCGGAUCC
rnacentral:tRNA from 1 species